CCCGGUGCGCGCGCGCAGAGAGAGAACCCGAGGCAGGGAGAGGGAGAGGGAGAGGGAGAGACAGGAGAGCGAGAGGAGAGCGAGAGCCAACCACCGGCGAGUCAAGAUUCAGCGAUUCCACAGCAAUCGCCCUAAUGACAACAGCCUCAUAAUAUCUCCCCUAAAUCCACAGAAGAAUUGAGGCAAAAGGAUUGCAGACCCUGCUCCGGAGCAACCCUGCACUCCAGUUCGGUGGCGGCCGCGCCUUUCGAUCGCUAAGCCGGGAGCAGGGCAGCAGGCAAGGCACACGGCUCCGAGUGCGCCUCUACCCCGGCCGGGCCUACAGCAGCCAGGAACUGUUGGGAGAGCCUCUCAGCAGAACAAGAGUUCUGCGCCGCCCUCUGAGCCCACCUCCGGUCACACCGCCAGCAGAGCUUCUCUGGCUCAGGCCGGAAGCACUACGCGGCUUCCAAAGCCGGCAGAUCCGGAGCUGACCGACCCCAGACCGAUUCUCAACAGGUGGCUGGGACGCAGGCAAUGGAGCCGUGUCCCUGGCGCCGCCGCGCUCCCUCUCGCCCCCAGCCGGACUACAGGCCUGCCCGCGAUGUCCACUUGGAUAGUCCCUGGCCCUUGGCUUUUCCCAUCCUUGUGAGUCCAGCGUCUCCUCCCUAGAGCUCCAGAAGCUUCACCCCUCAGCCUCUAGCCGCGAUGACCCUACCAAAACCAAGGCUCCUGACGGCUCGCGGGGAACGAGGGUCCAGCUUGGUGCGCUGCGGCAUCCCGAUGCCCAGCGUCUUCGCAGGCGCUCUCUGCGGACUCUCAGUAGAGAUGCGCUCGGUUAUUUCUCAAGCAUCACCCAUUUUACCUAAUCCCUUAUGUUUUUAUUUUAAUCCUACACAUUACAGUUAAUCUGUAAUGACACCGCUUCGGAUGAACCUGUUGCAUACGAGGCACUGCAAUUUGUAACCUUGGAAACUGUUUUAAAUAAAGAUUAUAACAGUG